AGAGUUUGAUCCUGGCUCAGGAUGAACGCUGGCGGCGUGUCUAAGGCAUGCAAGUCGAAUGCCCCGAUGUUGGUAGCAAUACUGGCAAAGGGACAUGGCAAACGGGAGAGUAACACAUUGGUAACUUUCCUUCGUGACGGGUAUAAUCCUGCGAAAGCGGGAAUAAUUCCCGAUGGUAGUGGGGGGACAAAAGUCAUUCCCACUUAAAGUAGCAAUACGCACGAAGAGAGGCCUAUGUCCUAUCAGCUAGUUGGUGAGGUAAUAGCUCACCAAGGCAAUGACAGGUAGCGGGUGUGAGAGCACGACCCGUCUCACUGGGACUGAGACACUGCCCAGACUCCUACGGGAGGCUGCAGUCAAGAAUAUUCCUCAAUGGCCGAAAGGCUGAAGGAGCGACGCCGCGUGGAUGAUGAAGUCCUUCGGGAUGUAAAAUCCUUUUUUUAGGGAUGAAUCAAUGACAGUACCUAAAGAAUAAGGGGCUGCUAACCUCGUGCCAGCAGCAGCGGUAAUACGAGGGCCCCGAGCGUUAUCCGGAUUUAUUGGGCGUAAAGCGUGUGCAGGUGGUUUGUUACAUCUUCUGUCAAAUCCCGAAGCUCAACUUCGGGGCUGCGGAAGAGAUGAGCAAACUAGAGACUGGGAGAGGCGAGCGGAAUUGCUGGUGUAGGGGUUAAAUCCGUUAAUAUCAGCAGGAACACCAAAUGCGUAAGCAGCUCGCUGGAACAGUUCUGACACUCAUACACGAAAGCGUGGGGAGCGAAUGGGAUUAGAUACCCCAGUAGUCCACGCCGUAAACGAUGAAUGCUGAUCAUUGGAAGUAUCGACCCUUUCAGUGAUGUCUACCUAAGUUAACACCUUAAGCAUUCCGCCAGGGGAGUACGGUCGCAAGACUAAAACUCAAAGGAAUAGACGGGGACCCGCACAAGCGGUGGAGCAUGUGGUUUAAUUCGACGAUAAACGAGGAACCUCACCAAGGCUUGACAUCUAGCUGCAGACUCCUGGAAACAGGAGAGCCUUCGAGGGUGCUAGACAGAUGCUGCAUGGUUGUCGUCAACUCGCGUCGUGAGAUGUACCGUUAAGUCGGAAAACGAGCGCAACCCCUACCCUAUGUUUUAUAUGUCAUAGGGAACUGCCCGCUUUAAGUGGGAGGAAGGUGGGGAUGACGUCAAAUCAGCAUGGUUCUUACGCCUUGGGCUACACACGUGCUACAAUGGGAUGCACAAAGGGACGCCAAACCGUAAGGUGGAGCAAACCCCCCAAAACAUCCCCCAGUUCGGAUUGAGGUCUGAAACUCGACCUCAUGAAGCCGGAAUCGCUAGUAAACGCGUAUCAGACAUGGCGCGUUGAAUACGUUCUCGGGUCUUGUACUCACCGCCCGUCACACCAAGAGAGUCGGUAAUACCCGAAGCGCCCGUUAGGGAACUAAGGUAGGAUCGAUAAUAAGGGUGAAGUCGUAACAAGGUAACC
rnacentral:rRNA from 1 species